CAGAUCAGGGUCUACCUUUAUUGUACAAAGUGUUGAUCGCUGUUGCUUCUGCUGGAUCUCUUUUGAUUGUUGCUGCAGUUGUGAUCUUCUGGAUCUACAAGAAACAUAGAAAAACUGAUCCAGAAUUCGAGACUCGUGAUUAUGAGACAACUUACACUGAGCCAGUGUUCUUCAAAAGAAAUGCACAUAAAUCGAAUGGUGAAGAAGAAGAACGUGUUGAGUUUGCACCUACCGCCUUGAGAAGUGAGAAACUUUCAUCAAACACAUCGAGUUCGGAAUCUGUUGACUUUAGGAAUUCAUGAGGAUCUCCACACGUGUCAUUAACAUAAACAAAAUACACAGAACAAAAAAAAUAAAAUAAUAACGCAUAUUUGCAUAGAACAGAUUCAUUUUAUAUUGUAAUAUUUUAUAAUAUUUUAUGUUAAUAUUGUAUUGUAAUACUGCGAUUGUCACAGUCUUCAGUCUUUCUGUCCCCGUCUUCUGUGAGUGUUGUGUUUGUUUGGUGCCAUGUGCUCUCUCUCCUGUCUAUUUUCUGACCCCGCCCACCUUGUGACCUCAUUAUUGUUUAGUUGUUCCACCUGUGUUUCUCCCUAUCUCCCGGACUCAUUCAACUUCAGUCCACACACCUGUUCACCCACUCUCUCACACACACACACCUGGAGCCCAUUGUUCUUGGCUAUAUAUUCUUCACUCUCACACAACUCUGUCUGGCUGGAUUAAUGUUAAUUGUGAGUUGUUGGUUGUUGUUUGUCCUUCGUGUUUAAUGUUCUGGUUUCUUCUGCUCGUGUUCCUGUUGUUUGGUUCUGUUUUGUUUUUGCCUUGUUGGCCUUUUUCGUUCUCAUUUAUUAAAUAGUAAUUUCUUCCCUGCACUUGAACCCAGACCCUGUUCUUUCUUUGGCGGUCUCUAUCGCCCCGUGACAGCUAUUUUUUAUCCUUGGUGAACAGAAGAGACUAAUACAAAAUAGUCAAACAAAUUUGAUGUAAAGUUGCUUUGCAAUGAUUCGUAUCGUAAAAAGCGGUAUACAAAUAAACCUGAAUCAUAAACGGUCCAAAUUUUUCAGUUAUUUAGAAUGCCCUCCUUAAGUAUUGGAACAGUAAAGACAAAAUUGCUUUCUCUGCUGUGGAGUCAAGACAUUUGCAAUUAUGAUUAAAAGAUGAAUAUGCGACAAAACUACAGAAUGUUACAUUUUAUUAUUAGGUCUUUCGACACAUACAUGCUUUACCAAAUAAAAAGGACAGCACUUUUAGAGUUCAUCCAACUAUUUGAUGUGAACAUAAGUACUGGAACAGCUGAAUUUAAGGCAGAUGUAAAAGAUAAAAAGCUAAUAUUUAAUUGCAGAUCCCUGGCCUGCAAUCAGAGCAGUGAGUCUGCAACCAAUAGACAUCAGCAGAUGCUUGCUCUUAUGCUUUGAAAUGCUUUUCCCCAGCCUUUAAAAUGAAGAGGUCCUGUUCUAGAGACAGCCAUGACACCACCUCCACCAAGCUUUACGGAUGAGCUUGUAUGCUUGGGAUAAUUUGCAGUUC